rnacentral:lncRNA from 12 species
UUGAUAUUCAUUUGUGGAAAUUCUUUUUCCUUUGAAAGUGGUGUAGGGUCAUCCUCCAUCUGAAGAAUAAGGCAGUGAUUCAGGAGGUUCUGAGAAGUGGCCCUGAGUACCUGGGAACAGGAAGACUCACUCUGCAAUGCUGGAGAUCACGCUGACUCCUCCAAGGUGAGCAUUUCCACUUCCCCUCCGGCUGGCCUCCGGCGGCUCUGGAACCGUGAACCUGUCUGGGGCAGACACAUCCCCUGUCACACCGAGCAGCUCCUCGACUCCGGGGCCUCGUGGGGUGCGGCAGGCCUCGCCGCCUUGGUUUGUGUUCUCCUGAUUCCCUGGUUAGUGGGACAGGUGGUGCAGCGGUUUGGUGCUGCCUGCAGCCUGGGGUGUGACCCUGGAGACCUGGGAUCGAGUCCCACAUAGGGCUCCCCGCAUGGAGCCUGCUUCUCCCUCUCCCUCUGCCUCUCUGUGUGUGUCUAUGAAUAAAUAAAUAAAAUCUUUAAAAAAAAAAAAACA